GUCCUUUUCAAAGGGAGAAAAUCAACAUAAACAUCAACCAGCCACAAAGCAGAUGAAAUAAUUGAUGAUGGAAGAGCAAAUGGUUUGCAGAAUUUGAAGGGUAUACUCUCUGUAAAGGUAACUGCAGGAGGGAUUCUGCCCAUCAGGCCAGAAACAAAUUCGACACAGCUUGAAACACCACGUAGCGUUUAUCCAAUCAUCAACAGAUUAAAACAGAGAGUUUACCCUCCAGUUUUUUCACUUGCAAUCUUAAGAAGUCAGAGCCAACAUGAACUACAUACAACUGCUAAGUAACAAGUAUUUGAAUUGUUGAUUAAACCAUAUAUCUGCAAUCUGCCUAACCUGUGCCAACCUAUGAACGGAAAACGAUUAUCACACAAAACUUUUUUGUAGUUGGAAAAGCUUCAAGUUUUCCUCGCGCAUAAGCAGCUUCUGACAGGAAGACUUUAGUUUAUCCACAUGUGUUGAUGUGCACCAUAACUAUGGUCUAUGGCUUCUUAAUUCAGAUCGAGUAAUAAAUUUUAAUUUCCUGUAACAUACUCCAAAGUCCAAAGCAAUAUGUUUCAGAAUGGAAAAGGAAAGAACCAGGCCAUGUGAACUAACAUUAAAAAGAAGAAAUUCAUUUCAGACAACUAACAACCGGAUACAAGAUAAGAAACAAACCAAUUCCCAGGUACGAUAAUAGCACCUGUAUCUAAAUAAGAGAAAGAUAAAUUAAAAAAAAAAAAA
rnacentral:misc_RNA from 1 species